CACGUAGGCACCAAGCGUUGUCCGGAUUUAUUGGGCGUAAAGAGCUCGUAGGCGGUUCAGUAAGUCGGGUGUGAAAACUCUGGGCUCAACCCAGAGACGCCACCCGAUACUGCUGUGACUUGAGUACGGUAGGGGAGUGGGGAAUUCCUGGUGUAGCGGUGAAAUGCGCAGAUAUCAGGAGGAACACCGGUGGCGAAGGCGGGUCUCUGGGCCGAAACUGACGCUGAGGAGCGAAAGCGUGGGUAGCAAACAGG
rnacentral:rRNA from 1 species